AAGCCAUUCGCAGAGCAGGCUGCUCUCUGGCAACACAGCACUUCAAAUUGUUCACCCCCAUUUCCUGACCAUUUGUGUCCACUCAAGUCCUGCGUCAAGCGGCUCUUCACAGCCCAGGUAAAGAUCAGCGUGGUGCCUGCCUCUAAGUAAACGAAUGAGUUGGGCCAUUGUUUUCCUUUGCAGCAGAAUUAUAUUACAAAGCUUGGAAAGCCAAAGAAAAUAUUCUUUGGGAGGUGAAUACAAACCUUAUUGCUUUACAGUACAAGUGUUCUUUUCUCGGAAUAAAUGACUGGCUUCCUGUGAGCCUGGCACUCCCUCUGAAAUCAAACAGGUCUGCAAUGCUCCAGCACGCCAAGUCGUCCAUUUAUAGAUCUUCUCCAGAGAUAAAGGGCUUGCCACGCUCUCCAGCUGCAGAGCUCAGGAGCCAAAAGGACUUUGGAUGCUUCGUGGGACCAGCUGUACCUACCUGCUUCCAUUGCAGAGCAGGAACUGUGCUGGAUUUGUGCAAUUUGAAGAUGUGAGACAGCAAACAGACACAGACCCAACAGCUGGAUCUACAGACCAGCUUGGUUCUGUUUCUCUUUCAUCAGCAGCACUAUUUUUCCCUCCAAAACAAUGCCACUGCAUCAGAAGCUACCAGUCAGCAUCCUGCUCAGGAGGAAUAAGGUAGAAAUAAUUCACUGACACGUGCCCAGAUGUUCCCAAAGUCAUCCAAUCUGAACAUUCUGCUUUUCAAAGAAGGAUUUCCAUCUUAGUCAUUAAAAUGUUUUGGUUUUUUUUUUUCCCCAUCAUAAUUUGGGACACAGAGUACAUUUCUAAGCCAGUUCCAGACUCUUUUCUUAUCUACCUGAUUUUUCAGUUCACCUUUUGAGCCUGCAAAGGACUUCAAUGUCGUGAGCCCAAGAUAUCAAUGCACUGCACAAGUACACAAUGCAGCCUUCAUGAAGGAGCCCUGGAGACUUAAUUUCUUCUUGUAUUUUGGCCUGCAUAAAAGGACACUGGGCAGGUAGCUCAGUUUGAAUAUGAAGAAAAAAAGAAACGUUGUCCAUUCCCACUCACCCCAUCUCCCAGGACCAUGAUGAGGACUCUAAACUGUCAUCACAAUUACCCAGUCCAGCAGAAAAACAACAUCACACAGUUCACUAAGCCCACAGUGAUUUUCUAUCAGGAUGUUUUUCUUACCACUGCCAUCCUGUUGUUCUUCAGUAAACCCAAAUGCUGAAAUAUGCCUUGCUGCCUAAAACACUCAUCCUGUACAGCCAUCAAUACCAUCAUUUCUUCUCAAAGUAUGCAGACAACUGUUGGAAUAUCCCACUACUCUUCUGGAUUUUCUGCUGUGUCAAUGCAGUCCCUCUGUCUGGCUGUGCGUACCUGGAAGAAGGACGCUGCUGAAGCCUGCAGAAGUUGGUGCAUUAAAAAAAGAAGCCACCUCGCUGAGUCGCUCAGCUAAAUUGAGUCUUCGCGAGCGGGAUGCAUACUUGAUGGCUAAACUCACAACAUUUUGUGUCAUGAGGUCAGCAAGUUCCACACAGCGGAAUUCACGCUCCAGUUUACAAGCAAGCUGGAAGGAGAAAAGCCUUGAGAGUUACACAGCUCAGUGACACAGCCCUCUGAAGACUACAGGACCAGAACAUGAUGAGGUUUGUGAAUAAAGACAAAAAUUAUCAAGCUUCUUUUAGAGGGUUGUUUUUUCUUUAAUUUUUGGUUAGGAAGCCUUCCUUCUUUCUAUCCUGUGAUAAGCAAUAACAACAUGACCUGCCAUCCACCUCUUAUUGCAUCUGGGGAGCACCAACUUCCACUGGAUGAGCCAAACUUCCACUCAGAGAAUCACAUCAGAGUUUAAAUCAAAUGCCAUCUACUCAAAGUUUCAGGGAUCGUUUUUGGUUUUGAUUUCCUUGUACUUACAGCAAACAAUUUCAUCAGAAGUUCCUGCUGUUCCUUCACUGGCUGACUUUUAGCAUUUUCAUCAAGCUCGUAGCCAUUUUUUGAUAAGUAAUCCACAUAGUUGUGAAAUACAACUGAACGCCAGUAUUGCUCCUGAAAAAAAGAAAGACAUUCUGGAGGU